UACGAAGGGGGCUAGCGUUGUUCGGAAUUACUGGGCGUAAAGCGCGUGUAGGCGGGUCUUUAAGUCAGGGGUGAAAUGCCAAGGCUCAACCUUGGAACUGCCUUUGAUACUGGCGAUCUUGAGUCCGGGAGAGGUGAGUGGAACUGCGAGUGUAGAGGUGAAAUUCGUAGAUAUUCGCAAGAACACCAGUGGCGAAGGCGGCUCACUGGCCCGGUACUGACGCUGAGGUGCGAAAGCGUGGGGAGCAAACAGGG
rnacentral:rRNA from 1 species